UACGUAGGGGGCAAGCGUUGUCCGGAUUUAUUGGGCGUAAAGAGCGUGUAGGCGGCCAAACAGGUCAGCUGUGAAAACUCGAGGCUCAACCUCGAGACGUCGGUUGAAACCGUUUGGCUAGAGUCCGGAAGAGGAGAGUGGAAUUCCCGGUGUAGCGGUGAAAUGCGCAGAUAUCGGGAAGAACACCCGUGGCGAAGGCGGCUCACUGGACUGGUAUUGACGCUGAGGUGCGAAAGCGUGGGGAGCAAACAGG
rnacentral:rRNA from 1 species